rnacentral:rRNA from 1 species
CGGGAUUGCCUCAGUAACGGCGAGUGAAGCGGCAAGAGCUCAAAUUUGAAAUCUGGCCUCCUGGGCGGGGGUCCGAGUUGUAAUUUGGAGAGGAUGCUUCGGGCCUGGCUCCCAUCUAAGUGCCCUGGAACGGGUCGUCAGAGAGGGUGAGAAUCCCGUCUGGGAUGGGUGAUCGGGUCUGUGUGAAGCUCCUUCGACGAGUCGAGUUGUUUGGGAAUGCAGCUCUAAGUGGGUGGUAAAUUUCAUCUAAAGCUAAAUACUGGCCGGAGACCGAUAGCGCACAAGUAGAGUGAUCGAAAGAUGAAAAGCACUUUGAAAAGAGAGUUAAAGAGCAUGUGAAAUUGUUGAAAGGGAAGCGCUUGCGACCAGACUCAUGUGGGGGGUUCAGCCGGCACUUGUGCCGGUGCAUUCCCCCCGGCGUGGGCCAGCGUCGGUUUGGAGGGUCGCUGAAAGGCCCCUGGAAUGUAUCGCCCUUCGGGGCGUCUUAUAGCCAGGGGUGCCAUGCGGCCCGUUGGACCGAGGAACGCGCUCCGGCUCGGACGCUGGCGUAAUGGUCGCAAGCGGCCCGUCUUGAAACACGGACCAAGGAGUCUAACAUCUACGCGAGUGUUCGGGUGUCAAACCCGUCCGCGCAGUGAAAGCGAACGGAGGUGGGAGCCCUCUGGGUGCACCAUCGACCGAUCCUGAUGUCUUCGGAUGGAUUUGAGUAGGAGCGUAGCUGUUGGGACCCGAAAGAUGGUGAACUAUGCCUGAAUAGGGUGAAGCCAGAGGAAACUCUGGUGGAGGCUCGCAGCGGUUCUGACGUGCAAAUCGAUCGUCAAAUUUGGGUAUAGGGGCGAAAGACUAAUCGA